rnacentral:rRNA from 1 species
UACGUAGGGUGCAAGCGUUGUCCGGAAUUAUUGGGCGUAAAGAGCUCGUAGGCGGUUUGUUGCGUCGGCUGUGAAAACCCGAGGCUCAACUUCGGGCUUGCAGUCGAUACGGGCAGGCUAGAGUUCGGUAGGGGAGACUGGAAUUCCUGGUGUAGCGGUGAAAUGCGCAGAUAUCAGGAGGAACACCGAUGGCGAAGGCAGGUCUCUGGGCCGAUACUGACGCUGAGGAGCGAAAGCGUGGGGAGCGAACAGG